UACGAAGGGGGCUAGCGUUGCUCGGAAUCACUGGGCGUAAAGGGUGCGUAGGCGGGUCUUUAAGUCAGAGGUGAAAUCCUGGAGCUCAACUCCAGAACUGCCUUUGAUACUGAGGAUCUUGAGUAUGGGAGAGGUGAGUGGAACUGCGAGUGUAGAGGUGAAAUUCGUAGAGAUUGGGUGGAACACCAGUGACGAAGGCGCCUGCCUGGCUGAUUACUGACGCUGAGACUCGAAAGCAUGGGGAGCAAACAGG
rnacentral:rRNA from 1 species